GCCGGGGUAGCUCAGUUGGUUAGAGCAUCCGCCUGAAGAGUGGGGGGUCGGCGGUUCGAAUCCGCCCCCCGGCACCA
rnacentral:tRNA from 1 species